GAUGAACGCUAGCGGCAAGCUUAAUACAUGCAAGUCGAGGGGCAGCAUGACUGUAGCAAUACAGUUGAUGGCGACCGGCAAACGGGUGCGGAACACGUACAGAACCUUCCUUCGAGCGGGGAAUAGCCCAGAGAAAUUUGGAUUAAUACCCCAUAGUAUUACGGAGUGGCAUCACUUUGUAAUUAAAGAUUUAUCACUUGAAGAUGGCUGUGCGGCUGAUUAGAUAGUUGGUGAGGUAACGGCUCACCAAGUCUGCGAUCAGUAACUGGUGUGAGAGCACGACCAGUCACACGGGCACUGAGACACGGGCCCGACUCCUACGGGAGGCAGCAGUAAGGAAUAUUGGUCAAUGGACGAAAGUCUGAACCAGCUAUGCCGCGUGGAGGAUGAAGGCCCUCUGGGUUGUAAACUUCUUUUAUAUGGGACGAAAAAGGGCCUUUCUAGGCCAACUGACGGUACCAUGUGAAUAAGCACCGGCUAACUCCGUGCCAGCCGCCGCCGUAAGAC
rnacentral:rRNA from 1 species